GGCUCUAAAGAGCCUGUGUCGCUCACCUUGGUAUAUGUGAAUAUUAAACAAAGGAAGCAGAUGGAUUCAUGACAAAAUUGUGUUUUGGUGAUGGUGAUGUGUUUGUACAUCUUACUUUACUGAACAUUCUUGCUGCUUACAAUUAUCUCUAUCUAUAAUGAACUUGGCCCAGUAGUUUCAGUGGAAAAUGUUAGUAAAAAUUUACAAAUUUUAUAAAAAUUGUUAAAAAUUGACUAUAAAGGACAAUAACUCCUUAGGGGGUCAACUGACCAUUUUGGUCAUGUUGACUUAUUUUUAGGUCUUACUUUGCUGUACAUUAUUGCUGUUUACAGUUUAUCUCUAUCUUUAAUAAUAUUCAAGAUAAUAACAAAAAACGUCAAAAUUUCCUUAAAAU
rnacentral:lncRNA from 1 species